CAAAUGUGACGGAGUGUGUUUGUUGUCCUCUUCAAGGCGGAAAAAGACUGAACAGAUAAAUCAAGAGUGUUCAUAGUGAAGUGAACAUGAUGUCGCUCUCUGACCCCCCGCUGCAUCCAUGAUGACGACGCUCGUUCUGUCCUUUCACAGCGCGACCAAUCACAGCAGAGACACCGCGGGGAGCCUCUGUGAGCCAGGUGCAUUAUGGGAGGUGAGGUGAAGGACAGCAGUCACCUGAGGACAUUAAACCUGCUUCCAUCCACCUUUUUAUUCAUUUAUCUCUUUAUUUAUACAAGUAAUUCAACUGUAUUUCAGGCUUUUCCAUGUGGUGAUUAAUAAAUCUAUUGAUUGACUAUU